CCUACGUGAGGCAGCAGUGAGGAAUAUUGGUCAAUGGUCGGGAGACUGAACCAGCCAAGCCGCGUGAGGGAGGAAGGUACAGAGUAUCGUAAACCUCUUUUGUCAGGGAACAAAGACUGGGACGCGUCCCCGGAUGAGUGUACCUGAAGAAACAGCAUCGGCUAACUCCGUGCCAGCAGCAGCGGUAAUACGGAGGAUGAGAGCGUUAUGCUGCUUUGUAGGGUGUAACGGGUGCGCAGUCGGUCUGUUAAGUCACGGGUCAAAGCCUUGGGCUCAACCCGGGACCGCCGUUGAAACUGGCAGUCUCGAGUUGGAGAGAAGUAUGCGGAAUGCGCGGUGUAGCGGUGAAAUGCAUAGAUGUCGCGCAGAACUCCGAUUGCGAAGGCAGCAUGCCGGCUCCACACUGACGCUGAGGCACGAAAGCGUGGGUAUCGAACAGGAUUAGAUACCCUAGUAGUC
rnacentral:rRNA from 1 species